rnacentral:rRNA from 1 species
UACGAAGGGGGGCUAACGUUGCUCGGAAUCACUGGGCGUAAAGGGUGCGUAGGCGGGUCUUUAAGUCAGGGGUGAAAUCCUGGAGCUCAACUCCAGAACUGCCUUUGAUACUGAAGAUCUUGAGUUCGGGAGAGGUGAGUGGAACUGCGAGUGUAGAGGUGAAAUUCGUAGAUAUUCGCAAGAACACCAGUGGCGAAGGCGGCUCACUGGCCCGAGUACU